rnacentral:lncRNA from 1 species
UCUCUUCUGUAAGUUACAAAAUCUGAAACAGUAACAAUGUACAAGACCCAGUACUCUACAUCACACUAACUCUGAAAGGCAAAUGACUCACAAAAUGAUACCAAUUACCCAGAAAACAGGGAUCUACACUAAUUUGUUUGUCGAGCUUACCUUUCAUUAGCAUGGGGUACAUAAUGCAAAUAACAAAUGGAGAGCCAAAUCAAGAGCAUUUGAAUCAGCGCCAAACAGUAGAUCAAAUGGAUUUGGUAACAUAAAUCCCACACUUAAACUCUUCCCAUCAAUAAAAGUCAGGAUCUAAAAGAAACAAUGAGAAAACAAUAGCUAGAUAAGAACAGCGCACCAUCCUUUCUAGUUUCUACAGAUUCGAAUUUUAACAAACAUGUUGCUUAACUUAUAGCACUGCUAUCCUGGCAUAGUAUAAUCACUAUCAGACAAGUAAAACAUGACAGACUAUUAACUGAAACGACAAGCAUCGGUCUACUUAUGCAUCUGGUACUUCAGUAGAGACGGGUUCUUAACUUCUUAUGCUACAGCAGCUACGUCUUCUAACUCUUAUUUAUCAGAUGGAGCAGCUUUGUUGUCCUUGCCAUGCAUUGCCGACAAGUCAUCACAAUCAAUCUAUUCAUCUAACCAAAGAGAAAUGCACAAAAAAUUCCAUCUAUCACCAAACAGAAAGGCACCGUCACAGUUGUGCUGUACAGAUUACUACGCAACAACGAACAAAUUUGAGACAGCAAUCCAUCCAACCCCAAUCCCGACCACCAAACCAACACGGGGACCUACUCCAGAUGUUCCAUCUCAGACCACAAAUGAAAUAGCCUCUCAAACCCAUGACCCUAGUAACGUCGACAGGUAUGAAAUCUGAAAACGGCCAAAGGGAUUGAAUGAGAGUUACCGGACCUUCCUCUUGUCUAGCGUUGCCACUCAGAUGGAAAAUUCAUGAUGGAUGAUUUUACCCAUUAGCAAUAAAGAAGUGAACACCCGUCGUCCUAGGUACCGGCAAUCACUUCUCUCCAUGAUAUAGCAUGACAACCACGCUUCAGUGCAAAUAAAAAGAGCAUACCAACAUGCAAGAGGAAGAUACCUGAACUUUCAAGAGGGAUAUAGCUCCUGCCUGGUCAUCUUCUUCUGACUGAAGUUUGAUUUUUCCCUGAAUAUAUGUGCGAUGGUGAGCGCUGCACUUACUUUGCCAGUCCCAGCUGUAAUAAAAUUUGUCAACAUCAAUAGACCAUAUUCCAUGAAUACUCUUGCUUUCUCAAGGGGAUUAAAAUUUAGGGGUCCAACAAUUUCAGAUUUGGGGAGAAAAUCAAAGAUGAAUGUGUAGAGCCUGAUG